rnacentral:rRNA from 1 species
GACGAACGCUGGCGGCAUGCCUAAUACAUGCAAGUCGAGCGAACAGAUGAAGUGCUUGCACUUCUGACGUUAGCGGCGAACGGGUGAGUAACACGUAAGGAAUCUACCUAUAAGCGGGGGAUAACAUUCGGAAACGGGUGCUAAUACCGCAUAAUAUCUUCUUCCGCAUGGAAGAAGAUUGAAAGACGGCUCUGCUGUCACUUAUAGAUGACCUUGCGGUGCAUUAGUUAGUUGGUGGGGUAACGGCCUACCAAGACGAUGAUGCAUAGCCGACCUGAGAGGGUGAUCGGCCACAUUGGGACUGAGACACGGCCCAAACUCCUACGGGAGGCAGCAGUAGGGAAUCUUCCGCAAUGGGCGAAAGCCUGACGGAGCAAUGCCGCGUGAGUGAAGAAGGCCUUUCGGGUCGUAAAAACUCUGUUAUAAGAGAAGAACAAAUUGUAGAGUAACUGCUACAGUCUUGACGGUAUCUUACCAGAAAGCC